GCCAAAUGUAGGCACAUGCCUGUAGUCCUAGCCAUGCAGAAGUCUGAGGCUAGAGGAUCACUUGAGCACAUUUGUCCUGUGCUAUGUGUGCCAUGCUGAUUAGAUAUCUGCAAUAAGUUUGGCAUUAAUAUAGUGGCUUUCUGGGAAUGGGGGACCACCAGGUUGCCCAAGGAAGGAUGAACCCAUUCAUGUCAGAAGUAGAGCAGGUCAAAACUCCCAUGCCUAUUAGUAGUGGAAUCAAACCUUUGAAUAGCACUGUGUUCCGUCGUUGGCAAGAGAGUGAAACAUGGAGUCU
rnacentral:SRP_RNA from 1 species